UAAAGGUUAUACUAUGAUCUUUUUUUUUUCUUUUUUGCAAUCUGAUUACAUAAAUAGUGCAACUCAUGGGCAGUAACUUUUAAUUGCAGUACUUGAGAAAGACCUUGUGGCUUACUUUUCAAGAAGAUGUUCAAAUGCUCAAGGUGAGGAAAAAAUUUUCGGCAGCUAAAUAGCUGCCCAUAAAAAAAAAGGGAACAAAUAGAGUAGCAACAUAUCGGUUCAUUGGCACUUCUAUAUCAUGGCUGUAAAAGUAGGACAAUGAGUUCUCUUGCUGAUUUUUUGUUUGUUGCUUUUAAAUGAAACUGAUUGUUUGUGGUAGCACUCCUCUUACCUGAUGAUUUGUUCUGUUGGAAGAGGAACCGCAAGAAAGUGAUAUUUACAACUAUAUGCCGUGCACGUGUACAUUGGGGGCUGAUUUGUUCUUGGCUUUUGUUGCUUUAGCUUGAUUUUGUUGUUUGAUCUGAUUCAGGGCUGAUUUUGUUGGUUGUUUUGAUAUUCGCGAAAAUGGAGGAUCUUGUGGCUUUGUUUGAGCCCAUUGCAUUGUCUCCGUCGGAGUCUUCGAUAAUAUUGCUACUCCUGGUUUUCUCAUGUUUGCUUUAAGCUGGUUUGGUUUUGUUGUCUCUGUUUUUUCUCUCUUUUGACUGUUCUCCUUUCGGCUCUACUAUAGCUCAUAGCAUCUGAAUAUAUUUUACUCGUAUUCUUGCAAUGCAAAGGAAAAGAGGCAAUAGAUUCUAAGAAGCAAAUGUGAUUUGGUAUGUUAACCUAUAUUGGCAUAUUGUAUUGGGCUACAUAGCUUAGCUGGGUCAAAGCUGAUGUGAUUGGUUCCAUCUUUUUCCUCUCCUUGCUUUUAGUCGUGGGGCUUGGGUUUUUGAGGAUGGGAAUGAAUGGGGCAAUCAAGAGUCCAAAACCCUUCUUUUGUCUUCUGGUCUUGGGGGUUGCACCAGGUGUUAUUUGCUUUUUUAGAAAAUACCCUGUGGGAGAAUUAUGGCUUCUUUCAAAAUGAUUGAUUAUUUGAAUGCAGUGAUACCUGCUUAGAAUCAUGCAUUUGUGGAAAGUCAUGUGUAUUGUUCUUUGCACGUUGCGGGUGCUGGAAGCACUCCACUUCAUUAUGCUGCUUGUGGUGGAAGUGUGCAGUGUUGUCAGUGUGCAGUUGUGGACAGUGAACCAAUUUGGAACACCUACGUUGCACCUUUGUUUCUUUACUUCUAUUAGAUUUAUCACUGAAAGUGAACUUCAACAUUUUUCCUCUAUAUUUCAUUUACCUUCGUUGCUUUACUUAAUUAAGAUUGCUUGCUUCACAGUCAUUAUGUAUCCUUUAGAAGCUGAAUAUAUUAACAUUUAAUGUGGACACAAUGUCACUAAUUUUGUGUCUAA